rnacentral:lncRNA from 1 species
UGAGAUGGUGCGCCAAGCCCGGGUGCUGGCCCAGGCCACAUCAGAUCUCGUCAAUGCCAUGAGGUCAGAUGCGGAGGCUGAGAUUGACAUGGAGAAUUCCAAGAAGCUCCUGGCAGCCGCAAAGCUCUUGGCCGACUCCACCGCCCGCAUGGUGGAAGCUGCAAAGGGGGCUGCAGCCAACCCGGAGAACGAAGACCAGCAGCAAAGGCUGAGAGAAGCUGCCGAGGGUCUCCGGGUAGCAACCAACGCCGCUGCCCAGAACGCUAUUAAGAAAAAAAUCGUCAACCGGCUGGAGGUUGCAGCCAAGCAGGCUGCAGCUGCUGCCACACAGACCAUUGCAGCCUCCCAGAAUGCAGCCAUCUCCAACAAGAACCCCUCGGCCCAGCAGCAACUGGUGCAGAGCUGCAAGACGGUGGCUGAUCACAUCCCUCAGCUAGUGCAGGGGGUGAGGGGGAGCCAAGCUCAAGCAGAAGACCUCAGCGCCCAGCUGGCCCUCAUCAUCUCCAGUCAGAACUUCCUGCAGCCUGGAAGCAAGAUGGUGUCCUCUGCUAAGGCGGCCGUACCCACUGUGAGUGACCAGGCCGCAGCCAUGCAGCUGAGUCAGUGCGCCAAGAACCUGGCGACAAGCCUUGCUGAGCUGCGCACUGCCUCACAGAAGGCCCAUGAAGCCUGUGGUCCCAUGGAAAUCGAUUCUGCACUGAACACAGUGCAAAGCUCUGAAAACACUGGCCCAGGCUGCCCGGGGAGUGGCUGCGUCUACAAAUGACCCUGAGGCCGCUCAUGCCAUGUUAGACUCUGCUCGGGAUGUGAUGGAGGGCUCUGCCAUGCUCAUCCAAGAAGCCAAGCAGGCCUUAAUCGCACCUGGAGAUACGGAAAGUCAGCAGAGAUUAGCCCAGGUGGCCAAAGCUGUGUCCCACUCACUGAAUAACUGCGUGAAUUGCCUCCCUGGUCAGAAGGAUGUGGAUGUCGCCUUGAAGAGCAUCGGGGAGUCCAGCAAGAAGCUACUUGUAGAUUCGCUCCCUCCGAGCACAAAGCCUUUCCAGGAAGCCCAGAGUGAGCUGAACCAGGCUGCUGCUGAUCUGAACCAGUCUGCCGGGGAAGUCGUCCAUGCCACAAGGGGGCAGAGUGGAGAGCUGGCGG